GGGGGUGUGUUGGAAGUCCCACAUCGACUAGAGAUAAGGACAAUUUAUAAUAUAUAAGUGGGGUGCAGACCUCACCUUACAAGCCGGUUUUGUGGGGUUGAGUUAGGCCUAAAACUCACUUCUAACAUGGUAUCAGAGCUAUGGUUAGAGCCUAUCCUAGCGAUAUUUGUUGGGCAUAUUGUUCCACCCGCUAUUGGGCUGUUAUCGGACCACCCAUUAAUAUCUAGUCUCACGCUCGAGAUGUAUAUAUCUCGGCGUGAGGGGGGUGUGUGGAAGUCCCACAUCGACUAGAGAUAAGGCCAAUUUAUAAUAUAUAAGUGGGGUGCAGACCUCACCCUACAAGCCGGUUUUGUGGGGUUGAGUUAGGCCUAGAACCCACUUCUAACAGAAUCAACUAUAAAUUCUCCUUUGCUCAUCUUGUAGAAACACUUUUGAUGAUAUAUGAGAUUUCAUUCUGCUGAAGCAAAUUCCAGCACCGAAAACUCUUCCAAAAGUCACCUCCUAAUGAGCUUUCUCACCUCCAACUAGCUCCCUUCCAGUGAAGGCUGCCUGAGCUAGAUUUGCCAUCCACCGUAGAGCUCUUCCUCCAUCAAUUUCAACCACUGAAUUCAUUCUUCCGCUGCUGCCAAACCACAAGCAUCUCCUUCUGCUGCAUCCAAUUUCUUAUCCACGCUGGAAUGAUUCAUCAUGUUCCGCUGAAUGCAUCACCCACACCACUGAAUUCACCUCUGCACCACGCUGUCCAAAUUCUUUACAUCUUUCCGUUGCAUUCAAUCCACUUCCCUGGCUGGAGCAUCCAAAACAAACAAAAUAAAAUUAGUUUCAUAUUUAUCGUAUGUUGAUCUAUGUGGACAAAAAAUCUAAUUUAUCAUAGGAUUCUUUUGUAUGUUAUUGUUCAAUGUUGAUCUAUGUUGACAUAG
rnacentral:lncRNA from 1 species